CAGGUCCUACGGGACGCAGCAGUGAGGAAUAUUGGUCAAUGGUCGGGAGACUGAACCAGCCAAGCCGCGUGAGGGAUGAAGGUACAGAGUAUCGUAAACCUCUUUUGUCAGGGAACAAAGGCGGGGACGUGUCCCCGGAUGAGUGUACCUGAAGAAAAAGCAUCGGCUAACUCCGUGCCAGCAGCCGCGGUAAUACGGAGGAUGCGAGCGUUAUCCGGAUUUAUUGGGUUUAAAGGGUGCGUAGGCGGGCAUUUAAGCCGGCGGGCAA
rnacentral:rRNA from 1 species